rnacentral:rRNA from 1 species
AACGAACGCUGGCGGCAUGCCUUACACAUGCAAGUCGAACGGUAACGCGGGGCAACCUGGCGACGAGUGGCGAACGGGUGAGUAAUGCAUCGGAACGUGCCCAGUAGUGGGGGAUAGCCCGGCGAAAGCCGGAUUAAUACCGCAUACGACCUAAGGGUGAAAGGGGGGGAUCGCAAGACCUCUCGCUAUUGGAGCGGCCGAUGUCAGAUUAGGUAGUUGGUGGGGUAAAGGCCUACCAAGCCGACGAUCUGUAGCUGGUCUGAGAGGACGACCAGCCACACUGGGACUGAGACACGGCCCAGACUCCUACGGGAGGCAGCAGUGGGGAAUUUUGGACAAUGGACGCAAGUCUGAUCCAGCCAUGCCGCGUGAGGGAAGAAGGCCUUCGGGUUGUAAACCGCUUUUGUCAGGGAAGAAAUCUUCUGGGUUAAUACCUCGGGAGGAUGACGGUACCUGAAGAAUAAGCACCGGCUAACUACGUGCCAGCAGCCGCCGUAA